rnacentral:rRNA from 1 species
CCUACGGGAGGCAGCAGUAGGGAAUCUUCCACAAUGGACGAAAGUCUGAUGGAGCAACGCCGCGUGAGCGAUGAAGGCCUUCGGGUCGUAAAGCUCUGUUGUUAGGGAAGAACAAGUACCGGAGUAACUGCCGGUACCUUGACGGUACCUAACCAGAAAGCCACGGCUAACUACGUGCCAGCAGCCGCGGUAAUACGUAGGUGGCAAGCGUUGUCCGGAAUUAUUGGGCGUAAAGCGCGCGCAGGCGGUCCUUUAAGUCUGAUGUGAAAGCCCACGGCUCAACCGUGGAGGGUCAUUGGAAACUGGGGGACUUGAGUGCAGAAGAGGAAAGCGGAAUUCCACGUGUAGCGGUGAAAUGCGUAGAGAUGUGGAGGAACACCAGUGGCGAAGGCGGCUUUCUGGUCUGUAACUGACGCUGAGGCGCGAAAGCGUGGGGAGCA